CGGACACAGCCUAGGAUCCUGCUGGGCUCAGGACCUCCCCUCCCAUCUCUAGUCCCACGAGGAAUGUUUGUUCCCGUUCUCUGCUGGGGGAGCUUUUUCAUGGUGGGGCCUCAUCCUCGACAAAGCUGUGGGACUCAGAGCCAGGCUCUGUGUGGCCCGACGAUCCUGCUGACCCUGGCCUCCUGCAGACCAUGGGCCGCCAUACCCCUGGCCGCAUCUCCAGCUUUUCAAGUGGGAAGAAACCACCCCGCUUCCCAGGACUUGCACUUCUGUGGGCCAUCCUCAGCAAGACAUUUUCAUGGAUAUGAAACUGGACACCGAGUUGACGCUGAAGUUCAGCUGCUGGGUAAUCUUCCAUUUCUGGAGCCUGCUCAUCUUCCUUGUAAAACCCGGCUAGGCCUUCACCCUGGACAGGAGCAACUGGUUAGUAGACAUGGAUGCGUCCUGUAGAUGGCAGCCUUUGGGCCAAGGGGGAGAGAAGGGAAGGGAUGGGACCUCUGUUCCCUGGAGUUGGGCUGGCGAGGCUGAGAGUAAGGUGGACUUCCAAGCUUUGGGAAGGAGGGUCAAGUGGGGGAGCCCUAUAGACAUUUGGAGACAGAAAUGUGGGGGCCUAGCAUUCCUAGAAUAGAGUGUUGGCCACAGAGACAGAGGUGAAUAAGAUGUUGGUGAAUGCAUUCCCUCGGGUGCUGCAGAGAAUUAGGGGCCAAAGAACAUGCUAAGAAGGGAAGAUUGUGUCUCCAGGCAGUGGGAGGGAGACCUGGGAGGAAAACUGCAUGUGUUGACUCAGAGUACAAAAGAUAAGAAGUCUGCUUUGGAGAGACGUGGUAGUAGUUGUUAUGUUUUAGAUUUUCAGGCUAAGGACGAUGGGAUUGCAAGUACUUCAUGCAGCGGGAGUGGAGGGUUAGAUGCCAUGGAAGAACCUGGUUCAUGCAAGGUUUUGGGAGCUGAAAACAGGUUAUUUCUGUAUGUCACCAUCCAGUGAUAGAAAGGGAAAAGAGAAGGAUUGCAUGGAGGAAGGCAUGCCACCAUGAGGAGAGUUGUAAUAGGGAGGAGCUGGUAGAUCUACUUGUAAGAACUAGUGGAGCAUCAGAGUGUUAGAUGCGGGACAGGGCCUGGGGAGAAACCUUAGUUAAAGUGAGGGAACGGAUAUCAGGAGGUGGUCAGGGGGACCUUUCAGAAGGUACUGGGGAAUGUGUGCUGAGUUAAUCAGGAAAUUUGACCAAAGUGUGCAGACUACCAAGAGAUGGAGAAGAUCUUAGUUGAAAUCAGAUAAGUGUUGAUAGGGGGCUUAGGUACAUGGAGAAACUGGCAUAGCCUGGGAAUGAAGUUUGUGGCUUGUAUUCAGUUUGUAGAAGUCAGAAUUAUAGCAGAGGACUUUCUCUUGGUAAACGUGUUUUUCUGGGUUUCAAAGGAGUGUCUGUGAUGUGCCCACAUUUGUUGUAGUUACUUAAGGUAAUGCAGAGAGCAUCAUGUGGGUCCUUGAAAAAGUUUGUGGAAAGAAGGAUUUGUAAGGUUAUUUCACUGUGUGUGUGUGUGUGUGUGUGUGUGUGUAGUAUUAUUCCUACCCAUUCAACGAUGAUGUUAGAAGACUUCGUCAGUUUCUUGU